rnacentral:rRNA from 1 species
CACGUAGGGAGCAAGCGUUGUCCGGAUUUAUUGGGCGUAAAGAGCUCGUAGGUGGUUCGGUAAGUCGGGUGUGAAAACUCUGGGCUCAACUCAGAGACGCCACCCGAUACUGCCGUGACUUGAGUCUGGUAGGGGAGUGUGGAAUUCCUAGUGUAGCGGUGAAAUGCGCAGAUAUUAGGAGGAACACCAGUGGCGAAGGCGGCACUCUGGGCCAGUACUGACACUGAGGAGCGAAAGCGUGGGGAGCGAACAGG